rnacentral:rRNA from 1 species
CAAGUCGAGCGGAUGAAGGGAGCUUGCUCCCUGAUUCAGCGGCGGACGGGUGAGUAAUGCCUAGGAAUCUGCCUGGUAGUGGGGGACAACGUCUCGAAAGGGACGCUAAUACCGCAUACGUCCUACGGGAGAAAGUGGGGGAUCUUCGGACCUCACGCUAUCAGAUGAGCCUAGGUCGGAUUAGCUAGUUGGUGAGGUAAUGGCUCACCAAGGCGACGAUCCGUAACUGGUCUGAGAGGAUGAUCAGUCACACUGGAACUGAGACACGGUCCAGACUCCUACGGGAGGCAGCAGUGGGGAAUAUUGGACAAUGGGCGAAAGCCUGAUCCAGCCAUGCCGCGUGUGUGAAGAAGGUCUUCGGAUUGUAAAGCACUUUAAGUUGGGAGGAAGGGCAUUAACCUAAUACGUUAGUGUUUUGACGUUACCGACAGAAUAAGCACCGGCUAACUCUGUGCCAGCAGCCGCGGUAAUACAGAGGGUGCAAGCGUUAAUCGGAAUUACUGGGCGUAAAGCGCGCGUAGGUGGUUUGUUAAGUUGAAUGUGAAAUCCCCGGGCUCAACCUGGGAACUGCAUCCAAAACUGGCAAGCUAGAGUAGGGCAGAGGGUGGUGGAAUUUCCUGUGUAGCGGUGAAAUGCGUAGAUAUAGGAAGGAGCACCAGUGGCGAAGGCGACCACCUGGGCUCAUACUGACGCUGAGGUGCGAAAGCGUGGGGAGCAAACAGGAUUAGAUACCCUGGUAGUCCACGCCGUAAACGAUGUCAACUAGCCGUUGGAAUCCUUGAGAUUUUAGUGGCGCAGCUAACGCAUUAAGUUGACCGCCUGGGGAGUACGGCCGCAAGGUUAAAACUCAA